rnacentral:lncRNA from 1 species
UUUCUAUCGGUGGCUAGCAUUAACCUGUGCAGAGCAUGAGGAAAACCUAGUUUUAUAGUUGAUGAUUCACAUUUACUUAUGAAGUGAACAAAAUUUGAUCUGAGUUGGAAUUUGACUAUUUUUCUUUUGAAUUGUGUAUUGAAACUGAAAGAUAUGUUUUAUGAUGUAGGCUAGAAGUUAGACUUCAGUCCCCAAGCUAAUAACAUUAUAUGUUUU